ACAUGCGAUGCAAAUCAGAAAGAAGAGAAAAGACGUUGGCGGCUGCAUUGUGUGAGAGAGAAAAGUGACGUAGUCACGUAGAUAUAGAGAGAGAAGGGGUUAACAGUAGGGUCCGGGUCAGUAUCACCACCAAACGGAGCUACAUGCGUCGAGGCGAUAUAUGUAUAUGUAUAUAUACACACGAAGAGAAAGGGAAAAAUUGAAAACCUAAGACCUCACAUCUGAGCAUCGAGGUUCAGUUUCUUCUAUCCGUUAUUAAUUUAUGUUUGGCGUGUUUAUGUAUAUUGUUGGAAUUUGACUUGCGUGCGAUCAAUUUGAUUUAGAUUAGGCUAGAAUUUUGGUCUGGAUACUUCAAUUGUUAUCAUUCAUUCACUUUUCGUACAACUUUUUGAAAUUUAUUUAAUUGGCCAGUUGGAGUUUGCAGACUAUGGCAUUUUACCCUUUCUUUUAAUGAUUUGGAGCUUUUUUUCUUUCUUUCUUGAAGAGUACAUAAAUACACAUACACAGGUAUGUAAUAAAUAAAUAAAUAAAUAAAUAAAUAUAUAUAUAUAUAUAUAUAUAUAUAAGCUUCUGUAUAAUAAUAAUAAUAUGAGUUUAAAAAAAUAAAAAAAAUUAGUAAUUAAUAAUUAAACGCUUAGUUUAUUAAUUAAUUUUUGUUAAUUUGUGUAAUUAGUUCAAACGAAGGGAAUUUAAAGAGUUAUACUUGGAAUAUAAAUUUUGGAGUAUUAAUAAUUGAUAUAAGGCGAUGAUUAAAGGCAUAUUAAAUAGAUUAUGAAUUAUUUUGGGAAUUAUUAGUUUGGAUUAUUUUAAUUUGAGGAGAAUAUGUUUAGGUUGUGAAUGACGUUUCGUAUUUGAUAUCGUUGGCAUUUGAGGGUAAGAUUGGUGGAGUGUGCUAUAAAUGGUUUGAAAGUAUCAGGUAUGGAUUUCGUACUCCUUCGGCGAUACUCUUGUUAAAUUUGAUUCGUUCGUUUUGUUCCUUAUUUUUAAUUUCGUUAUUAUUUCACAUAAUUGUCUCUUGUGAAAUUCAUAUAAUAGUUUUAUUUUGGAGUUAAUACAUAUGAUGCGUAAUUGUACUCUUUGAAAUAGGUUAUCAAGUUUAGUAUUUAUUUUUGAUAAUUGUAGAGCGGUACAUGUUGCUACCUUCUUUUUGAAACCUUGUGACUAGAAUUUGAUUUGGUUCAACAUGUACAUAUAGAACCCUUUUUGUUGGUAUUAUGUCGCAUGUGUUGUGACAUGGUAUUUUGUUAGAAUAUACCGUAGGGUAUACCUGAGCUAUAACCACCUGUGGGGGUACCACAGGCAUGUCGUCUUGGCACGAGAGGCAUGACACUCUCCGUGGCGGUGUGAUUAGUCCACGGCGUCUCCGUUUUGGGCUCCGGAGGAAGUGGGCCAUUUGGUGUUUUGUUGUGGGAGGCGUAUGGGUUAACCCUAGUUUUCUGUUCUGCGAAUUGGUGAUGUUGUGCCAAACACACCUAUCCGAUUUGCAUACAUUUGGAUUCACGGUCCAAUGUGUGAUUUGCCUGUGUGACAUUAUUUUGAUUUGUCUGUGUGGCAUUACUUUAACUUGCCUGUGUGGCAUUAUUUUGGUUGCCUGUGUGGCAUCAUUUGAUUUGUCUGUGUGGCAUUAGUUUGACUUGCCUGUGUGGUAAGAUAUAUUUUUGAGCUCGUUCGGUAUGAAAUAACACCCAAUCAUUUGAUUCAGCCUAUUAUCUCAUUGUAUUUGUUUUGUUUGUUUCUGUUCAGUUAAAUUCAUUGAGUUAGUUACUUCAGUUCGUUAUUUCUUUAUUCUUCUAUUGGUUUCGUCAACUUUGUUGAUUCAGAUAUAUUCUAUUCAGAUCUUUGGAGAUUAUAUUUUUGUCAGUAUUUACACUUGAGGCUUUGUUUAGUAUUUUGUCUCAGUUGUUUUUGUAUAUCAGUUGUAUAUCUUUUGUAUAUCUGUAUCCGUACUGGGCAAUUGGCUCAUGCUGUGUUGUUCUUCCGGCAGGUUUGCAGGGGUGAUUCAGGACUAGUGUGAUGAGAGAGUUGCCUUUGACCAUCUAGGUUGAUUCGAAUUUUAAGUUUUGAUUAUUUUGACUCUGUUUGGAGAAUUGUAUUUAGUACUUUAUUAAUGGAUCACCACUAUUAAUAUUUUGAGGUUGUUAGUGCUCUGUUUAUUUAUUUUGAGGUUUAUUGUGCUUUGCACGUGCCCUCCCUUUCCUUUUCGGGAAGGGGGUGUUACACAUUAUCCCCAGUAAGAAUAAUAUCAACAACAUAUACUAUCAAAAUUUUAAUCUUUCCAUCAUUGGAGUACUUUAUGAACAUAGUACGAUCACUUUGAGCUUGGACAUAUCCUUGGUUUUUUAUGGAUCGAGUGAAUCGAUCAAACCAGGCUCUUGGAGAUUGCUUGAGCCUGUAUAAUGACUUCUUCAGCUUACAUACCUUAUAUUCAAAGUGUUUAUCAAAUACAGGCGGUGGAUCCAUAUAAACUUCCUCCUCCAAAUUACCAUUUAGAAAUGUAUUCUUCACAUCUAGUUGUUGAAGAGGCCAAUCAAGAUUUACUGCAAUUGAAAGAAGCAAUCUCACAGUAUUCAAUUUUGCCACUGGAGCAAAGGUUUCGAGAUAGUCAAUACCAUAGGUUUGAGUAAAACCUUUUGCAACUAAUCGUUCUUUAUAUCUUUUGAGAGAUCUGUCUGAAUUAUACUUGACUGUGAACACCCAUUUGCAACCCACUGUUGUCUUUCCUUUUGGCAGAACCAUUACUUCCCAUGUAUGAUUUUUCUUAAGUGCCCUCAUCUCUUCAGAAAUAGCCUUCUUCCUCUCAGGAACCUGUAAAGCUUCCUGUACAUUCUUUGGAAUUUCCACCGAAGAGAUAUUUGAAGUAAAUGCAAAAAAAGGAGAAAGAUUUUUAUAGGACACAUAUUUAGACAUGGGAUGUUUGGUACAAGAUCGUAGACCCUUACGGAUAACAAUGGGAAUAUUAAUAUCAUCAAAGGACUCAGAACUAGAGAUAGAAAUAAACUGGACAGGUUGAUAAUAAUCAAUUUGAUUAUUACCUAAACACUCAGAUAGGUUUGGUUCCUCCCUCAGUUUGGAUUCAUGGCCUUGUAGAGGAUCGGGAUUGUUUUCCUUCGAAUUAUGCUUCCUCCUCGAGUAGGUUAAGAGAUCUGAACUUGUAGUACUUGUUUUAUUCUCAUUGUCAGUAUUACCAUGAUUUUGAUUGUGAGAUUUAAGAGAAGAUGAGUCAUCCAAACUUUCAAUAUUCAAAACACCAUUAUCUUCGCCCACAAUUUUAGCAAUUUUUUUAAAAGACAUAUUAGAGGUUGUUAUAUCCAAUCUUGAAGGUUCAAUAUUUGGGUUUAGUGUUGUUCUUUCUAUUUUACAUAUAUCUGAAUCUUCACUUAUGCUCUCCCCCUGAAGAUGAGUUUCAAAAAAGGGUUUCGAUUGAAAAUAGGUUACAUCCAUGGUGACAAAUAAUUUUUUUAAAAUCGGAUCAAAACAUUUAUAUCCUUUAUGAGUAGGUGCAUAUCCCACAAAAACACAUUUUCUAGACCUAGGAUCAAGUUUUCCCCUGUUAUGGUCAUGAACAUGGACAAAGGCAGUGCACCCAAAUUUUUUUAGAGGAAGUGUAGAUGAUAGCCUAGAAAUAGGAUGAUAGUUUGUGAACACCUGUAAACGUGUUUUAAAAUUUAAGAUCCUAGUAGGCAUCCUAUUUAUGAGAUGGGUAGCUGUGAGAAUAGCUUCACCCCAAAGGUAUUUGGGUACAUUAUUUGUGAAACAUAAAGCUCUAGCCACUUCCAAAAGGUGUUUAUUUUUUUGUUCAGCUAUUCCAUUUUGUUGGGGUCAUUACAAGAACUUUGGUGAACUAUGCCUUUUUCUAAAAAAAAACUUGAAUUGUUGAAAUACUCUUUUCCAUUGUCGCUAUGAAAAACUUGAAUUGUUGUUUGAAAUUGUGUCAGCACCAUGGUGUAAAAUGUUUUAAAAACUUCCUCCAAUUCUGAUUUUUCUCAUAGUAAAUAACCUAGCUUACCCUUGUGUGGUCAUCUAUAAAGGUGACAAACCAUUUUUUGACGAAAGUGUUGAGAUUUUUUAAGACCCCCCAUACAUCACUAUGUAUUAAUGAAAAAUGUUUUGAAAUUCUAUAUGGUUGUAACAAUGAUGUUUAGCUAACUCGCAAAAUUCACACUGAAAUGAAGAUGGAUUUUUAUUUCUAAACAAACUUGGAAAUAAAUGCUUCAAAUAUUGAAAACUUGGGUGUCCUAAUCUAUAAUGUCAUAACAUUAUUUCAUCACUACUAGCAAUAGAAAUAUAUUCAAAACAAGUAUUUUGGAUAGGUUUUUUUGAUUUGGAUCCAUCUUCAAAGAAAUAAAGUCCACCGAUCUCUCUAGCAUUGCCAAUCGUCCUCCCCGAGGUUAGUUCCUUAAACUCACAAUAAGACGGAUAAAAAUUAGCUCGACACUGAUGAUUAUGGGUUAUUUUACUAAUGGAUAAUAAAUUAUAAGAUAAAUUUGGAACAUGGAGAACAUUAUGAAGUGUAAGAGAAGGAGAAAUGAACACUGAUCCUUUUCCAGCUAUAGCUGAAAGAGAACCGUAUAGAAUUUUGAUCUUUUUGUUUCCUACACAUGGUUUAUAGGAAGAGAAUAUUUUUUAAGAUCCAUUCAUAUAGUCAGUGGCUCCAGAGUCAAUGAUUCAAGAACAAUAAACAUUUGAUUUUAUAAUAGAAAGAGAUGCAAUGAGAUAAUUACCCUGUUGAGCUAAUGAGCAAGAAGGACUUGAGAAUUCUGGAGAUUGAAAAAGUUUUUACAGGUGGCCUAAUUGUUCCUUUGUGAAAUUAGGCAUCUCUGAAUUGAUUUUUGGUCCGUGAGAAUCUUCACUCAUGGUUUGAAAUGAUUUUCCAUCACUUCCAUUCUUCUUCUUAAAAUUUUUGGGUGGAUUUUCCAGCAUGUCUCUUUCGUAUGCCAUAGUUUUUUACAAUUUCCACACCAUGGUUUCUUCCUUCUAUCUCCAUCUGAAUCACAUCCUCU
rnacentral:lncRNA from 1 species